CGCGACGACGGAUAACUUCUGUGCGGUUGGUACUGAUAGCUGAUAGCCAGCAGUCCUGUGCCCGUGGUACACAACCAGCUGCCGAAAUCCCUCCGCCGCCGCCUCCUCCAGCUAGCAGCAGAAAGGAGACACAUAUAUGGUGGCGCCCCCAGGAGCGAUGUUGUCGCCGUCCCUUUGCCUGCUCCGUCGUACGGCCACCGGAUCUGCGUGAUGGCCGCUGCCAUGCUCGAAGCUGGUUGAGUGUGUGUUCCCGAUUCGUUUUCCCCUCACCCUUUCUCGACCUGAGGCCUGCUGUUCUGAAGUCCAGGUGGUGGCGCUUUUUCAGCCUUUUCUGUAGCCUGAUUGAGGUCAUCUACCGGUGUACAGCUUUGCUCCGUUCAUGGUCGCCACUUCAGCAUUUGGAGGAUCGCGACCUCAUUAUGGAGGUGUCUACACGGUUGGAGAACACGGGCACGGAGUUUAUUUCCCAACAUGGGUGACUGCAUAGUAUGAGAAUUGAAGCCAACGGAGUGUCAUAGUAGUUGACUUUUAUCUUUUUUAUCGCAUAUUUUUGGCUCCUAGACUUCGGAAUGGCUGUGUGCAUCCUGGUUAUGCAGAAGCUGAGUGUAAUACUUAAAACUUUUUGAGUAAUAAAGCGCCCCUUAUCGAAAA